rnacentral:rRNA from 1 species
AUUGAACGCUGGCGGCAGGCCUAACACAUGCAAGUCGAGCGGAGCGGCGGACGGGUGAGUGAUGCCUAUGAAUCGGCCUGGUCGUGGGGGAUAGCGUACGGUAACGGGCGCUGUUACCGCUUACUAUCAGAUGAGCCUAUGUCGGAUUAGCAAGUGGGUGGGGUAGAGGGCUACCAAGGCGACGAUCCGUAACUGGUCUGGGAGGAUGAUCAGUCACACUGAAACGGAGACACGGUCCAGACUCCUACGGGAGGCAGCAGGGGGGAAUAUUGGACAAUGGGCUAAAGCCUGAUGCAGCCAUGCCGCGUGUGUGAAGAAGGUCUUCGGGUUGUAAAGCACUUUCAGUUAGGAGGCGUUACCAGCAGAAGAAGCACCGGCUAACUUCGUGCCAGCAGCCGCGGUAAUUC